rnacentral:rRNA from 1 species
CAAGCUGUAAACGAUGAGCACUGGGCAGGGGGGACUCCGAUGUCCUCCUUGCUGGAGCAAAUGUGUUAAGUGCUCCGCCUGGGGAGUACAGUCGCAAGGCCGAAACUCAAAGGAAUUGACGGGGGCUCACACAAGCGGUGGAGCAUGUGGUUUAAUUCGAAGCAACGCGCAAAACCUUACCUGGGUUUGACAUGCAUGGAUUAGUCUCUGGAAACAGGGAUGACGCUCGCAAGAGUGGAACGUGCACAGGUGC